CAAUGCGCAUUGGUUUAAUAUCGGGAGAAAAAAAAAUGAACAAAACAUCGUCGUUAUUCGUGUGUUGCAAAGUGAUUAAGUACAGCAGCCACUAUAAAACCGUAUCAUUAUUUUAACAGUGAAACAAAAUUGCCCAAUGCCAAUGACAGUAUUCUAUAAAAUAUAUUUGAAGUAACAGAAGUAAUUCGAUGGGCAACUAAUUUUAAAGUAAUAGGUAUAACUACAUACUUAGUCGACAGCAGUCUCAUAACAAUACGAUGGCAUAUCUGCAAUCAAAUCAAAAACAAACGAAUCUUCGACUUCUUCAAGUUCAAGGAACGGAUGACCAAAAAUAUAAUUUAAAAAUUUUCCUUCAUCUGUGUCUCCUUCAAUAUAAAGUUUGGAUAAACCCAAAUUUUGAAAUUUUCUGAGCCAAGCUGUAGUAUAUAAUAACUUUGUUUACAUACAGCCUCAAUUUUCAUCAAAACUAAAUUAAAUUUAAAAAACGUCAGAAUGUGAAUCGGGCACUCAUCCCUUACUCAUCAGCAUCAGAUGAGAGGGAAGACCUACCUGUAUGUGCCAGUUGUAACAUACCUGAGAUCAAACAUAUCAUAACAGAAUGAUAUGUCUCUCCCAUGAAACGGAUAAACGGGAAGAAGGAGUACCAGACAUCCUAUCUGAAGCCCUUCAUCCAGACAACAUAAAUAACACAAUGACAUUUAUGAUUAAGACUAAUUUAAUCAAUCAUUUGAACUACUACAUUAAUGUUAGGUUAUGUAUUUUAAGAUAAUAUAAUGUGAACCUUGUAAAAUAUUUGCAG